rnacentral:rRNA from 1 species
ACUCAAAUGAAUUGACGGGGGCCCGCACAAGCGGCGGAGCAUGCGGCUUAAUUCGAUGCAACGCGAAGAACCUUACCAGGAUUUGACAUACACCCAGUUCCUGCAGAGAUGUGGGGUCAUUUAGUUGGGGGUGUACAGGUGGUGCAUGGUUGUCGUCAGCUCGUGUCGUGAGAUGUUGGGUUAAGUCCCGCAACGAGCGCAACCCUUGUCCUAUGUUGCCAGCGAGUUAUGUCGGGAACUCAUGGGAGACUGCCGGGGUGAACUCGGAGGAAGGUGGGGAUGACGUCAAAUCAUCAUGCCCUUUAUGUCCUGGGCUGCACGCAUGCUACAAUGGCCGGUACAAAAAGUUGCGAUACCUUAAGGUGGAGCGGAUCUUUUUAAAGCCGGUCUCAGUUCGGAUUGGGGUCUGCAACUCGACCCUAUGAAGUUGGAGUCGCUAGUAAUCGCAGAUCAGCAUUGCUGCGGUGAAUACGUUCCCGGGCCUUGUACACACCGCCCGU